rnacentral:rRNA from 1 species
UGGGGAAUAUUGGACAAUGGGGGCAACCCUGAUCCAGCCAUGCCGCGUGUGUGAAGAAGGCCUUCGGGUUGUAAAGCACUUUCAGAUGUGAGGAAAGGAUUGCAUUUAAUAAAUGCGAUCUGUGACGUUAACAUCAGAAGAAGGACCGGCUAACUCCGUGCCAGCAGCCGCGGUAAUACGGAGGGUCCGAGCGUUAAUCGGAAUUACUGGGCGUAAAGCGCGCGUAGGUGGAUAAGUCAGUCAGAUGUGAAAGCCCUGGGCUCAACCUAGGAAUUGCAUCUGAUACUGCUUACCUAGAGUACGAUAGAGGGGAGUGGAAUUUCCAGUGUAGCGGUGAAAUGCGUAGAGAUUGGAAGGAACACCAGUGGCGAAGGCGACUCCCUGGAUUGAUACUGACACUGAGGUGCGAAAGCGUGGGGAGCAAACA